GGAUGUGAGGGCGAUCUGGCUGCGACAUCUGUCACCCCACUGAUCGCCAGGGUUGAUUCGGCUGAUCUGGCUGGCUAGGCGGGAGUCCCCCUCUUCCCUCACCGAUCCAUGUGCGUCCCUCCCAAGCUGCACGCUCAGUCGAAGAGGAUGACCUCCCCCCUACCCCACCCCAGGAGAGGACUGGUCUUCGGUCAAGGGUAUACGAGUAGCUGCGCUCCCCUGCUAGAACCUCCAAACAAGCUCUCAAGGAAAGAAGCACUAUUAAAGAUAAAGGAGACUCUGACAUGUCUAAUCUCACACCUAGACUGCCUAAAUAGGACAUUUCU
rnacentral:snRNA from 1 species